CCUCCGCCGUGCCUGUGUCCUGGCGUCAGGCGGGGCUGAAGGGACUAGCAGCGAGGACACGGUCGCUGACACAGGUCCCUCAUUGGCCGUCAGUCCCUCUCGCCAGCAGCCCGGGACCCAGCCCGCCCCUGAGGCCCACAUGUGUCCAGCAUCAGUCCUGGAGGGCAGGAGCCUUUGUGUCACACUCACAUAAGCUCGUACCUGACUUCCUACCGAACAGAAGGACUGGGCUGGGUCGGCGUGGCCAGCCUUCGAUGCUGGAUGGCCACCAGAGGGAACCUGUGACCAUUCUGUCUGCAGAAAGUCAAGGGAAAGACCUUUCUCCCAGGACAGACAGUGUUAUGUUGACCCACCAGCCCACCUGGGAUGAUUGCCAACAGCUCCUCCGCAUCCUGUUCACCACGGAGGAACGAGGACGGAUCCAAAUGGAAGCCAGGAAACUGGUUCCUGGUGACGACGGCCAGCCCACCGUCAACCCGGAUCUGAUUAAUGAUGCUUUCCCUUGACCAGGCCCCCACAGGAGGACUGGGACUACAGCACGCUGGAAGGAGGGUCAAAGUGACAGACUCUCCAGGUGGGCCCAUAUCCAUUUUGACUCUGACUCUGGAAGAUGAAUAGCGACUUUAUCAGCAACCCGAGACACCCGAACAGGAAUCGGCCGACCGACGGCUUGAACGUUUCCCAAAAGCUUGGGCAGAAACUGGGGGGUGGGGUGGGGUGGGGGUCUGGCCGCCCAUCCACUGGCCAUAUACAUAGAAACUAAACCAGGGGCGGACCCAGUCAGAGUUCGGCAGUACCUUAUGUCCCUAGAGGCGAGGGUGGGAGUCACGCCCCAUAUUCGGCACCUGUUGGACCAAGGGGUCCUGCGACCGUGCCGGCCAGCCCGGAACACACCCCUAUUGCCGGUACGUAAGCCCAGUACAGGAGGUUUUCGGCCUGUGCAGGACCUAAGGGAAGUAAAUAAAAGAGUCGCGGAUCUUCAUCCAAUGGUGCCAACCCCUAGACCCUGCUCAGCACUCUCAGCCCUGGGAGACACUGGUACACCGUCCUAGGUCUAAAAGACACUUUUUUCAGUUUACCCCUAACACCUAAGAGCCAAGAACUUUUCGUCUUUGAGUGGGCGGACCCGGAGAGGGGCACCAACGGACUAUCAACUUGGACCCGGCUACCACAAGGAUUCAAGAACUCGCCCACAUUAUUCGAUGAGGCUCUCCAUGGAGACCCGAGUGAGCACAGACGGGCUCACCCAGAUCUGACCCUCUCGCAGUACGUGCUGCCAGUUGCGGCACAGACCCCUGGGGAAUGCACCCGGGGAGCGGAGGACCUCUUGCACACCCUGGGGGGCCUGGGCUACAGAGCGGCAGCCAAAAAGGCCCAAUUCUGCAAGGCUGAGGUAACCUAUCUGGGGUACCUAAUGGAAGGGGGCAACGGUGGCUGACCCCGGAGCGCAAGGAGACUGUGCCUCGAAUCCCACGGCCGCAGUCGCACCAGCAAGGACGGGAGUUCUUAGGGUCAGCCGGGUUCUGCCGAUUGGGGAUUCCUGGGUUCGCUGAACGGGCCGAACCCCUGUACCUGGCGACAAAAGACCAGCAGCCCUGCCAGUGGACAGAGGAGGCUGAGCACGCCUUGCAGCAGAUAAAAGCAGCGCUGCUCUUGGCCCGGCACUGGGGCUCCCGAUGCCUCCAAGACUUUUCAGCCAUUUGUGGGUGAAAGCUAAGGGAGUCCUGACUCCACGCACAGGCCUGUGGCGUGCUUAUCACAGAAACUCGCCUCUGUGGCCGCCGGCUGGCCCCCUGCCUCAGGAUGACAGCAGCCACAGCCCUGAUGGCGAAAGACGCAGACAAACUAACCAUGGGGCAAGAACUGCAGGUCACCCACCCCCGCGACUGAAGGCCUCCUGAAGCAGCCUCCGGACUGACGGCUCGGCAGCGUCAGCAGCGCACGGCUAACCCACUCCCAAGCGCUGUCGCUAACCCGUCUCAGGAUUUUCUUCCAGCCACCAACCACUCUCUACCCUGCCUCCCUGCUGCCUGACCCGGACUUGGAGGCCCCGCUCCAUGACUGUGCCGAGGUACUGGCCCAAGAACACGGGGUAAGGGAAGACCUACAAGACCAGCCACUACCCAGCGCUGAGGUCACACAGUAUACCGACGGGAGCAGCUUCGUACACCAAGGACAGAGGUAUGCGGUAUGAGACUGAGAUAAUGUGGGCCGAGUCUUCGCCGGUAGACACGUCGGCGCAGAAGGCCGAGUUAAUAGCCUUAACUCAGGCCCUAAGGCUGGGAGGGGGAAGAAGUUAACUGUCUACACGGAUAGCCGGUAAGCUUUUGCCACCGCCCAUAUACACGGUGCUAUAUACCGGGAAAGAGGCCUCCUCAUAGCAGAGGGAAAGACUAUUAAAAAUAAGGAAGAGAUUUUGGCACUUCUAGCUGCCUUGUGGAAACCAAAAAGACUGGCAAUAGUGCACUGCCCAGGCCAUCAAAAACCGGUGGACCCUGUGUCGAGAGGCAAUCACUUUGCCGACCAGACUGCUAAGAGGAUAGCGUUGUCCCCGGUCCAGGCUAUGGCUGUACAGCUCCCCGACCCGGGACCCAGGGACCUACCUCCGGUAGCGGAGUAUGCAGAGGAAGACUUGCAGUGGGUGGAGAAACUCCCUAUGGCGCAACUCCUCGAGGAAUGGUGGAGAGACUCCAAGUGCCGAAUAGUACUCCCGGAGAAACUAGGAGAGGAGGUGUUGCAAAGAGUCCACGGUGGCACUCACCCAGGCGCCAGAAGGCUGCAGGACUUAACACGGCAGGCUGCACUGAGGAUAAAAGAGGCUGCCAGCGAGAACGAGCUAAUAGUAGCCGGACGCAAGGUCUGCCAGCUCACCAACGCGGGAAGAAAUUCCCAAAGUUCUGCAACAAGACAGCGAGGAGAAAAACCGGGAACUUACUGGGAGGUCGAUUUCACUGAGGUGAAGCCAGCAAAGUACGGGUAUAAAUACUUAUUAGCUUUUGUAGAGACCUUCUCAGGACGGGUAGAAGCCGUUCCCACUAAGAGUGAAAUGGCCCAGGUGGUGGCUAAGGAGAUCCUGGAGGACAUCUUACCAGGUAUGGAUUCCCAGUGAUGCUAGGCUCGGAUAAUGGACCAGCGUUUGUCUCUAAGAGGAUCCAUGAAGAGGUGUGGCCAAAACUGAGAGACCUGUACGAGACAGGGCCACCUCCCGUGCCCCACGGCUACCGGCCAGGCGACUGGGUGCUCGUAAAACGCCACCGACGGGAAAACUUGGAACCCAGGUGGAAAGGACCUUUCCAGGUCAUCUUGACGACCCCCACCGCUCUCAAGGUAGACGGAGUGUCCUCCUGGGUCCAUCACACCCACGCCAAACUGGUGGGCCCGUUCCCGGACAUCAUAGAGCCUCUUGCGGCCAAGUCAGGCUGGAGGGUCGACAGAACCCCAAACGAGAACAACCCCUUUAAGCUUAGACUGCAUCGCAGCCCUCAGGCUGCAGAUCGUCCGGAAAAUGAAGCAAAACCUUGCAAUCCUCUUCAUCCUAGCUGUCGGAAGAGCGGUGGCUUCGAGCACCCUCCCUCAUCAACCCCCGCCCGGAUACUGGACACUGCGGGUGCAAGGCGGGAUAAUUAGCCACUAUAACGGCACAGGACAGCCGGUGUUCACUGUCGACUUCUGCGACAUGUUACGAGAGGCGGACACGGGACUUGGGACGUAUGGAGUUCAGACGUUUAUCUCUCAGGCUACUUGGCAUUGGACUCCCGGGGUAAGGAUGGUGGGAUGCGGGCAACCCGGUAUAGAGGCCAACUUAUACCAGACCGGAUGGUACGUCUGCCCCGCCGAGGCUUCUCCGGAUUGUGGGGGGGCCGAAGACUACUAUUGCGGUCGAUGGGGAUGUGAGACAAUAGCGCCUUGGACUACCAGAGAUACAGAACUAGAGAUAACCAGAGUUAACAGCCCAGGGAAGGGAGGUAGGACUAGGGGGGGCAAAAUUCAGAUUAAAGUCAAAACCUGGCAAGUGGUGCAAAAUUCCCAAUGGGUCAGAGGAAAAACGUGGGGAUUGAGGCUGUAUGUCUCGGGGACUGACCCUGGUGUCCUGUUUACCAUUCAGUGGGGGGCUCUCCAGGGCCCCUCGACGGGGGUAGGACCAAAUCACUUCCUUGGACCUCCGACUGUGGCCUCAGCGCCCAAAGAGUUACUGCUUCCAACUGCCGCCUCCGAGCACGCAGAUCCCCGUGAGGACUAAGGUGACGUCUCCCGGCCCCCUGUGGGGAUCCUAACUAGCACCUUUACAGCCUUAAACGCUUCUUUCCCCAAUGACCACGGCCUGCUGGUUAUGUUACAUGCUUCCCCGCCCUGCUCUGAGGCUACGGCAGUGAUUAGCUUUACCCUCGGGCACAUCCCACGGAGGCUGUCAGUGGCGAAGACAGAGUUUGGCACCACCCUACAGGCUGUGCAAGGGUUCGGGACAUGCAUCACCACAAGACUUGCCAAACCAAUGUGUAACCACACCAUUAAUAACAAUGCCCCCCACUUCUACGCAGCGCCAGGAGACACUUGGGCCUGUACCGCCUCGGGAGUAGCCCCAUGCGUCUCAGGGAUGGUGUUGCAGCAUAACAGAGAAUGGUGUAUGCUAGAAGGCUGAACCCCGAACCAUGCAUCCCCCCUAUGACGAGCUCCUGACUAGCCUAGGGCCCACGACCUCGCCUGUUAGGAGGCCCCGGGAAGCAGCUGCCGCUUUGUUAACGGUAGCUAGGACUAGCAGGACUAGCAGGGACCGGGCUGGGUGACCGCAGUAGCACAGCAGGGUAGCCACUCCUCAGCUCUCCGGGUCGCUAUAGACGAAGACCUGGAUCGGACUGACCGAUCCAUCUCUAGUCUAACAAAACCUCUCAACUCACUUUCGGAGGUUGUUCUCCACAACAGGCUGGGACUGGACCUGUUGUUUUUACAACAUGGGGGCCUGUGUGCGGCCUUAAAAGAGGAAUGUUGUUUUUACACUGAUCACACAGGAGUAGCAAAAGACUCUAUGGCCAAAGUCCGAGAAGGCUUAGAAAAGCGAAAAAGGGACCGGGAGCAAAAAAGGGGUGGUUUGAAUCCCGGUGUAAUGUCUCUCCCUGGCUGACGG